rnacentral:rRNA from 1 species
GACGAACGCUGGCGGCGUGCUUAACACAUGCAAGUCGAACGGAAAGGCCCUGCUUUUGUGGGGGGCUCGAGUGGCGAACGGGUGAGAACCACGUGUGUAACCUGCCUUUGACUUUGGGAUAAUUUCAGGAAACUGGGGCUACUACCGGAAAGGAUCUCCUGCAGCGUGGUGGGGGUUGGAAAGUUGCGGCGGUUGGGGUUGGACUCGCGGCUUGUCAGCUUGCUGGUGGGGUAGUGGCUUACCAAGGCUUUGACGGGUAGCCGGCCUGAGAGGGUGACCGGCCACAUUGGAACUGGAAUGAGGCACAGACUCCUACGGGAGGCAGCAGUGGGGAAUAUUGCACUAUGGGCGGGAGCCUGAUGCGGCAACGCCGCGCGCGGGAUGACGGCCUUCGGGUUGUAAUCCGCUUUCCCCUGUGACGAAACGUGAGUGACGGUAAUGGGAGAAGAAGCACCGGCUAACUACGUG